ensembl:processed_transcript 1810026B05Rik RIKEN cDNA 1810026B05 gene
CGCGCGCGAUGUGGGAGCUCGCGGCCGGAGCGCCCGGGGAGGCCGGGCCCACGACGCCCGUGGCUCCGCUGCGGCAGCGGCGGUGCUGGUGUCGCGCGCGGCCGGGAGGCGGCUUCGCGCCGCGGGCGGGAGGCUGCGGCGGGCGACCCGUCCUGGACACGCGAGGAAGAGCGAGCCGAUGGCGGCAGGGGCCGCGCUUCGACCCGGUAACUUAGAAGAUGAUAAUUAAUGUGGUUGCUGAUAAUUCUGAAUAAAUACAGCUUUUAUCCCAGGUGUGCCAUUUUGAAGACUGAGACCAUAGAGUUCUAAGAAUAAAGGAAAGAGCCCUUGGGAAAUUAUUAUAUAUAGCAAAAAUGUGAAUCCUCAGAUGGAAUGAAAGGCCUGCACCAUAGACAUCGAAGCAUUUAAAUUUUUUUCUUCUAAUUUUUUAUGAAGCACCCCGCUUGAAGAGUUUGAAAUGGACUUUACCACUGAGAAAUCAAGAUGGCAGCCCAUUAUGGGGAAUUGAGGAAAAUGGAUUAAUGCAAGAAUGCUGUAAUAUUAUACAACCAACACAGGAUUCUUUUAAUGUGGAUUCCAUGAAAUGAAUGAUUCUUACCCAACACAAAUGGACAGUGGAAUUUACUUCCUAAAGACUUGUUACAUGUCAUGUACAUUUUUGACAUCUGGAGAAGACUCUACAAUUCUACAAAUGGUAGUUUGUAUUCCUGGAAUUUCUUGCAGUUUGAUCUGAAGUGACCUUAUGGAAUGUUAACUUUAAUAAAAUCUCUAAAACUUAAAAA